GCCAGGCGCAGUGGCAUACUUCUGUAAUCCCAGAGGCUUGGGAGGCUGAGACAGGAGGAUCACAACUUUGAGGUCAGCCUCAGCAACAGCGAGGUGCUAAGCAUCUCAGUGAGAUCCUGUCUCUA
rnacentral:sRNA from 1 species